AACCAAACACACUCACUCGCACACUCUCAUUCAUUUAUUCGUGUCUUGGAAGCCCUCACUCUUCCCUCUUUUCUUUCUUUCAUCCCCAAAUCAAAACCUAAAUUCCCACCUUCAACUUUCUCCCCCAAAUCGACCACCACCACUGUCAAGCCCAUUCAUAUAUAUUUUAUUCGUAUAUAUACAUACAGAGAGUGAGUGAGAGAGAGAGAAGAAUGGAUUCGGAUCAAGGCAAGCUUUUCAUCGGUGGGAUUUCAUGGGAUACGACGGAGGACAAGCUCAAGGAGCAUUUCGGUAACUACGGCGACGCUUUGAGCACUUCCAUCAUGCGGGAGAAGAACACUGGGAAGCCAAGGGGCUUCGGUUUCGUCGUUUUUGCAGAUCCUAACAUUCUAGAUAGGGUUUUGGAAGACAAACAUGUCAUAGAUGGCAGAACGUGUAAUAGACAAAAAGGAAUCACUGAAUGUGGCUACUACGUGAUGCACUGGAUGUCCACGAUAAUCUUAGGAUCUUUCAGGAAUAAUUGAGAAACGUAUUUUAAUAAAGUUAGACCAUUGGAAGCAGAGAGAUUCAAGGCACUUCGCAUACAGUGGGCACAAUAUUAUCUAAAAGUUAGAAAUAAAACAUAGGAUGUUAGGCAACUACGUAACUUUAGGUUAAUUAAUUAGUUUACAUACUUUGCAUUACAUUUUUUACAAUUGUUGUUUCAUCUUAACAUUCAAUAACCUUGUUGAUAGUUAGUUUUUUUGCUAAAAUCUAUUUGAAAACAGAAUGCAAAUGAUAUAUGUUGUGUGCUG